GAUGAACGCUGGCGGCGUGCCUAAUACAUGCAAGUCGAGCGAACAGACGAGGAGCUUGCUCCUCUGACGUUAGCGGCGGACGGGUGAGUAACACGUGGAUAACCUACCUAUAAGACUGGGAUAACUUCGGGAAACCGGAGCUAAUACCGGAUAAUAUAUUGAACCGCAUGGUUCAAUAGUGAAAGACGGUUUUGCUGUCACUUAUAGAUGGAUCCGCGCCGCAUUAGCUAGUUGGUAAGGUAACGGCUUACCAAGGCAACGAUGCGUAGCCGACCUGAGAGGGUGACCGGCCACACUGGAACUGAGACACGGUCCAGACUCCUACGGGAGGCAGCAGUAGGGAAUCUUCCGCAAUGGGCGAAAGCUUGACGGAGCAACGCCGCGUGAGUGAUGAAGGUCUUCGGAUCGUAAAACUCUGUUAUUAGGAAAGAACAAAUGUGUAAGUAACUAUGCACGUCUUGACGGUACCUAAUCAGAAAGCCACGGCUAACUACGUG
rnacentral:rRNA from 1 species